rnacentral:rRNA from 1 species
ACCGCCCGUCACACCACGAGAGUUUGUAACACCCGAAGUCGGUGAGGUAACCUUUUAGGAGCCAGCCGCCGAAGGUGGGACAGAUGAUUGGGGUGAAGUCGUAACAAGGUAGCCGUAUCGGAAGGUGCGGCUGGAUCACCUCCUUUCUAAGGA